rnacentral:rRNA from 1 species
AAACAUGUCUUUUUGAAAAUAAUUUAAAGUUUAAUCUGCCCACUGAUNAAAUUAUUAAAGGGCUGCAGUAUUUUGACUGUACAAAGGUAGCAUAAUCAUUAGUCUCUUAAUUGGUGACUUGUAUGAAAGAUUGGAUGAGAUAUAUACUGUCUCUAUUUAAUUUAUAAAAUUUAAUUUUUUAGUAAAAAAGCUAAAAUUAUUUUAAAAGACGAGAAGACCCUAUAGAGUUUUAUAAUUUAUUUAAUUAUUAUUAAUAUGUAAAUUUUAAAAUUAAAAUUAAAUAAAUUAUUUUGUUGGGGUGAUAGAAAAAUUAAAUUAACUUUUUUUUUAUUGUAUACAUUAAUUUAUGAGUAAAUGAUCCAUUAAUAAUGAUUAAAAGAAAAAAUUACCUUAGGGAUAACAGCGUAAUUUUUUUUUUUAGUUCAAAUAGGAAAAAAAGUUUGCGACCUCGAUGUUGGAUUAAGAUAAAAUUUAAAUGCAAAAGUUUAAAAUUUUGAUCUGUUCGAUCAUUAAAAUCUUA